CGGAAAAGAGGUGAUUCGAACACCUAAGUCUAAAAAGAUACCACUUAGCAAGUGGCUUGCCUUACCUAUGGCUACCUUUCC
rnacentral:tRNA from 1 species